UGGGCGGCGUGCUUACCAUGCAGUCGAACGAUGAAGCCCAGCUUGCUGGGUGGAUUAGUGGCGAACGGGUGAGUAACACGUGAGUAACCUGCCCUUAACUCUGGGAUAAGCCUGGGAAACUGGGUCUAAUACCGGAUAGGAGCGCCUACCGCAUGGUGGGUGUUGGAAAGAUUUAUCGGUUUUGGAUGGACUCGCGGCCUAUCAGCUUGUUGGUGAGGUAAUGGCUCACCAAGGCGACGACGGGUAGCCGGCCUGAGAGGGUGACCGGCCACACUGGGACUGAGACACGGCCCAGACUCCUACGGGAGGCAGCAGUGGGGAAUAUUGCACAAUGGGCGCAAGCCUGAUGCAGCGACGCCGCGUGAGGGAUGACGGCCUUCGGGUUGUAAACCUCUUUCAGUAGGGAAGAAGCGAAAGUGACGGUACCUGCAGAAGAAGCACCGGCUAACUACGUGCCAGCAGCCGCGGUAAUACGUAGGGUGCGAGCGUUAUCCGGAAUUAUUGGGCGUAAAGAGCUCGUAGGCGGUUUGUCGCGUCUGUCGUGAAAGUCCGGGGCUUAACCCCGGAUCUGCGGUGGGUACGGGCAGACUAGAGUGCAGUAGGGGAGACUGGAAUUCCUGGUGUAGCGGUGGAAUGCGCAGAUAUCAGGAGGAACACCGAUGGCGAAGGCAGGUCUCUGGGCUGUAACUGACGCUGAGGAGCGAAAGCAUGGGGAGCGAACAGGAUUAGAUACCCUGGUAGUCCAUGCCGUAAACGUUGGGCACUAGGUGUGGGGACCAUUCCACGGUUUCCGCGCCGCAGCUAACGCAUUAAGUGCCCCGCCUGGGGAGUACGGCCGCAAGGCUAAAACUCAAAGGAAUUGACGGGGGCCCGCACAAGCGGCGGAGCAUGCGGAUUAAUUCGAUGCAACGCGAAGAACCUUACCAAGGCUUGACAUGUUCUCGAUCGCCGUAGAGAUACGGUUUCCCCUUUGGGGCGGGUUCACAGGUGGUGCAUGGUUGUCGUCAGCUCGUGUCGUGAGAUGUUGGGUUAAGUCCCGCAACGAGCGCAACCCUCGUUCCAUGUUGCCAGCACGUAAUGGUGGGGACUCAUGGGAGACUGCCGGGGUCAACUCGGAGGAAGGUGAGGACGACGUCAAAUCAUCAUGCCCCUUAUGUCUUGGGCUUCACGCAUGCUACAAUGGCCGGUACAAUGGGUUGCG
rnacentral:rRNA from 1 species